UCUGCUUAUUAAUGUCUGACAGGUGAACAGUCUUCCUCCCGGCCAGGAGAAUGCAGAAGGGGAGACAGCGCGUUUGAUGUGAUGUAAUGCUUGCAGUUCUGAGCGCUUCCACGGGCGGCGCUUCGGCGCUUUCAGAUCCUGUUUGUGACGCAAGUUCUGACAGAGCGAUUUCUACACCGAAGUUCUAUUUCCACUUCGAAGAAUAUACUUUAUUUGUGUGGGUGGUCUAGAAAGCCAGUGUAUAUCUGUUUUAUAUAUAUUUGAGCUAAUCCUAUUUAAAAGGUAUUGCCAAAAACAAACAAAAACAAAAACUGCAUGCAUAACAAAUCGACGUAGUAAGAGAGGAAGUAAAGUUUUCAAAAACACAAGAAGAUAGAUAGCGAUGGAUACCGGAGCCUCAGCGCCGGAUCCGUCAAAGGAAAAGUGUGAAGUGGAAAUGAAGAAACAGCCAGAGCCUCGACGAAAACGAAGACACAGUAAUGAGAUGGACCAUCCUCACAGUGACCACCAAUGACAUUAUGUAUGGGAUAAUGUAUACCAGAGCCGUCGCGAGGGAGAAGGAACGGCAGCAUAUGAGGGACGCAUCACAAUCACAUAACCCAAGAGUUAGCGGUGUGAAGUUACACCAGCGGUGGCCAAUACAUGGAUCCCUAUCCACGAGUGGAUCGCAAAAGAUUUUUGGUGGAUCUCAGGACAAAUCGGAACAAGCACUAGCAUGAUGCAGGGGAACUGAUGGCAGGCAAGACUGCAUUAACAGGGAGCCAGGAGUUCAAACAUGAAAAUAUAUUAAAUACAGUGCUUCAAAACGGCACGCAGUGUGCGGAGAGGCAGCCCAUCCCGCUACCAUAAACAGCAAGCAGCGCAUUCUGAGGAACAUGUAGCUUACUGGUGGAUCGCGGAGCCCUUUGAGAUCCACCAAAAUGGAUUGCAGUGUUUUGUGUAUUGGCCACCACUGCCUUAGGUCACCCAGCGGAGCCAUGAGAACCGGAACUGUCCUGGUGACUGUCCACGAUUGAGGAGCUCGCUUGCGGUUCGACCUGUCCCAUGCGGGAGCGCGGGGAGAGAGCAACGCGAACACCUGCUGGGACGCCUCGCAUUCCCGGUGGGAUCUCUGCAAGAUCUCCUCCACAGCUGGCCCAAAGUGAAUGAAGGUGCAGUUGACAGUCUGCAGGCUCCAAAGCCAAGGAACAGAGCUGAGUUUUUAAAAUAUUCCUGUCAGCUCACACUGGACCCCAACACAGCGUAUAGAGAGCUCUGUCUGUCUGAAGGGAAUAGAAAGGUGACACGGAGGAGAGAGACCCAGAGGUAUCCUGAUGAUCACCAAGAGAGAUUUGAGAGCUAUCCCCAAGUGCUGUGCAGAGAGGGUUUGUCUGGGACUCGCUGUUACUGGGAGAUUGAGUGCAGUGGGGGAGGGGCUGCUAUAGGAGUCACAUAUAAAGAAAUCAGCAGGAAAGGAGGGGAUUCCUGUGGCCUUGGAUUCAAUGACAAGUCCUGGAGUUUGCUCUGCUCUGGUUCCAGUUACACUGCCCGGCACAAUAACAAUGAAACUGCAAUAACUGCCCCCCGCUCCCCCAGAAUAGGAGUGUAUCUGGACUUUAAUGCCGGCACGCUGUCCUUUUAUGGCGUCUCUGACACAAUGACCCUCCUGCACAGAUUCCAAACCACAUUCACUGAGCCGCUCUAUCCUGGGUUUUGGGUUUGGGAUUAUGAAUCCCCUGUAACAAUCUGCCAGCUGAACUAGACUGUUUUGUGUUGUAAGAAACCCUUUGUAUUGAACUCCCUGUCUGUCCUCUCCACUCCUCGGGUGAAGGGAAUGUUCAAUCUGACACAACUUUGGAUGAAAGUUAGGGGGUAAAACGGCGCCACCUGCAGAGCGAAACUAGGGAAUUAUUUGUUUUUAUGCUUGUGGCAUAACAUUUGUAAUUGUAAACACUCACACCUGGACAGCUGUUUCAGCAUAAAACGUUCAAUAUGUCGUGAGUAUGAGAAGUAUCUCUUAAGGUGAUUGUAGCUCACUAAAUAAUUCCACACUGUGUUCCUAUAUUGCACUUCCAUGGCUACACAGGACUCAAAUGUGCAGGUUUGAAAAACAUGAUGGGCAAGAUUCUCAGAAAUCCAUGAUCUUGUUUCGAAUGGGAUUUUGUGUCUCAAAUGGAUAUUUAUAGUAUAUAGCUGAACUAUCUGGGAUUUAGGUACAUCUUGCAAAUCUAUAACCCGUGAGGCUUCAUACAUACCUUUAUACAGAAAAGCAAUAGGUACAAGAUGCCUUUUCCUCAUGUUAUAAUUGUAAAUUAGUUUAAAUAUUAGUUUAAAUAUAGUUUGUAAAUUAUCUCAUUGGAAAUGGUUGCAUAUUUACUCUUGACUUGCAUUUAAUUAGAUGUAUCGGGUCUACUCGUCAGGCAGUUCAAAGUUUCAAUAUUAUAAUUGUUUACUUAUUUUAACUAUAAUGUGAGUGAAAUAUCAUCACAAGAAAGAAGACAUUUCCAUGGAUAAAGUAAAUCACAUUCAAUUUGCAUUACAUGUGCAAUCUGCCCACAGUGGAAAGGCAGAAACGUGUUUUAAGCCUGGCCUUUGUCGCCCUCUUCAGGACAAACUCUGCAGCUGCGCAGAGCCUGAUUGAAAGCAAUUCUUUUCACUUGGUGUGGUUCCAUUGGAAAUGUAGGGCUCUAUUCACACAACCUUCAGGACUGUUCCAAGCACUGUUUGGUUAAAGACGCUUUAUAGUUUAAAUCAGGUUGUUUAGAGAGGGGGAGCAGUUUACUGUUUAUUAAUUUUAUUGUUUAUUAUUCAAAGCACCAUUUAAGGUCAACACUUUAUAAUCAGGUUUCAAAUUAAAACCAAAAUAUGAAUGUAAAGAAGGACCAUUUUAAUAACCAUUUUUUUUUUUUAUGUUUCUGUACUUCAAUUAAUGCAAACGUUUUUUUCAUGUACUUUUUCUUUAAAUGUUUUGUAAAGUUUUAAUUUUCAAUAAAUGAUUUGUU